AUUGAACGCUGGCGGCAUGCCUUACACAUGCAAGUCGAACGGUAACAGGCCGCAAGGUGCUGACGAGUGGCGAACGGGUGAGUAAUGCAUCGGAACGUGCCCAGUCGUGGGGGAUAACGCAGCGAAAGCUGUGCUAAUACCGCAUACGAUCUAUGGAUGAAAGCGGGGGACCGUAAGGCCUCGCGCGAUUGGAGCGGCCGAUGUCAGAUUAGGUAGUUGGUGGGGUAAAGGCUCACCAAGCCGACGAUCUGUAGCUGGUCUGAGAGGACGACCAGCCACACUGGGACUGAGACACGGCCCAGACUCCUACGGGAGGCAGCAGUGGGGAAUUUUGGACAAUGGGCGCAAGCCUGAUCCAGCAAUGCCGCGUGCAGGAGGAAGGCCUUCGGGUUGUAAACUGCUUUUGUACGGAACGAAACGGUCCUGGUUAAUACCCGGGGCUAAUGACGGUACCGUAAGAAUAAGCACCGGCUAACUACGUGACAGCAGCCGCCGUAACAC
rnacentral:rRNA from 1 species